rnacentral:rRNA from 1 species
UACGGAGGGUGCAAGCGUUAUCCGGAUUCACUGGGUUUAAAGGGUGCGUAGGCGGAUAGGUAAGUCCGUGGUGAAAUCCUGCAGCUUAACUGCAGAACUGCCGUGGAUACUAUCUAUCUUGAAUGUCGUGGAGGUUAGCGGAAUAUGUCAUGUAGCGGUGAAAUGCUUAGAUAUGACAUAGAACACCCAUUGCGAAGGCAGCUAACUACGCGAUAAUUGACGCUGAUGCACGAAACCGUGGGGAUCAAACAGG